rnacentral:rRNA from 1 species
GGGGACCAUCCUCCAAGGCUAAAUACUCCUGACUGACCGAUAGUGAACCAGUACCGUGAGGGAAAGGCGAAAAGAACCCCGGCGAGGGGAGUGAAAAAGAACCUGAAACCGUGUACGUACAAGCAGUGGGAGCACCCUUUGGGGUGUGACUGCGUACCUUUUGUAUAAUGGGUCAGCGACUUAUAUUCUGUAGCAAGGUUAACCGAAUAGGGGAGCCGGAGGGAAACCGAGUCUUAACCGGGCGUUAAGUUGCAGGGUAUAGACCCGAAACCCGGUGAUCUAGCCAUGGGCAGGUUGAAGGUUGGGUAACACUAACUGGAGGACCGAACCGACUAAUGUUGAAAAAUUAGCGGAUGACCUGUGGCUGGGGGUGAAAGGCCAAUCAAACCGGGAGAUAGCUGGUUCUCCCCGAAAGCUAUUUAGGUAGCGCCUCGUGAAUUCAUCUCCGGGGGUAGAGCACUGUUUCGGCUAGGGGGCCAUCCCGGCUUACCAACCCGAUGCAAACUGCGAAUACCGGAGAAUGUUAUCACGGGAGACACACGGCGGGUGCUAACGUCCGUCGUGAAGAGGGAAACAACCCAGACCGCCAGCUAAGGUCCCAAAGUCAUGGUUAAGUGGGAAACGAUGUGGGAAGGCCCAGACAGCCAGGAUGUUGGCUUAGAAGCAGCCAUCAUUUAAAGAAAGCGUAAUAGCUCACUGGUCGAGUCGGCCUGCGCGGAAGAUGUAACGGGGCUAAACCAUGCACCGAAGCUGCGGCAGCGACGCUGAUGCGUUGUUGGGUAGGGGAGCGUUCUGUAAGCCUGCGAAGGUGUGUCGUGAGGCAUGCUGGAGGUAUCAGAAGUGCGAAUGCUGACAUAAGUAACGAUAAAGCGGGUGAAAAGCCCGCUCGCCGGAAGACCAAGGGUUCCUGUCCAACGUUAAUCGGGGCAGGGUGAGUCGACCCCUAAGGCGAGGCCGAAAGGCGUAGUCGAUGGGAAACGGGUUAAUAUUCCCGUACUUGGUGUUACUGCGAAGGGGGGACGGAGAAGGCUAUGUUGGCCGGGCGACGGUUGUCCCGGUUUAAGCGUGUAGGUGUGUGUUCCAGGUAAAUCCGGUUCACUUUAACACUGAGGCGUGACGACGAGGCACUACGGUGCUGAAGCAACAAAUGCCCUGCUUCCAGGAAAAGCCUCUAAGCAUCAGGUAACAUCAAAUCGUACCCCAAACCGACACAGGUGGUCAGGUAGAGAAUACCAAGGCGCUUGAGAGAACUCGGGUGAAGGAACUAGGCAAAAUGGUGCCGUAACUUCGGGAGAAGGCACGCUGACAUGUAGGUGAAGUGAUUUACUCAUGGAGCUGAAGUCAGUCGAAGAUACCAGCUGGCUGCAACUGUUUAUUAAAAACACAGCACUGUGCAAACACGAAAGUGGACGUAUACGGUGUGACGCCUGCCCGGUGCCGGAAGGUUAAUUGAUGGGGUCAGCGCAAGCGAAGCUCCUGAUCGAAGCCCCGGUAAACGGCGGCCGUAACUAUAACGGUCCUAAGGUAGCGAAAUUCCUUGUCGGGUAAGUUCCGACCUGCACGAAUGGCGUAAUGAUGGCCAGGCUGUCUCCACCCGAGACUCAGUGAAAUUGAACUCGCUGUGAAGAUGCAGUGUACCCGCGGCAAGACGGAAAGACCCCGUGAACCUUUACUAUAGCUUGACACUGAACAUUGAGCCUUGAUGUGUAGGAUAGGUGGGAGGCUUUGAAGUGUGGACGCCAGUCUGCAUGGAGCCGACCUUGAAAUACCACCCUUUAAUGUUUGAUGUUCUAACGUGGACCCGUGAUCCGGGUUGCGGACAGUGUCUGGUGGGUAGUUUGACUGGGGCGGUCUCCUCCUAAAGAGUAACGGAGGAGCACGAAGGUUGGCUAAUCCUGGUCGGACAUCAGGAGGUUAGUGCAAUGGCAUAAGCCAGCUUGACUGCGAGCGUGACGGCGCGAGCAGGUGCGAAAGCAGGUCAUAGUGAUCCGGUGGUUCUGAAUGGAAGGGCCAUCGCUCAACGGAUAAAAGGUACUCCGGGGAUAACAGGCUGAUACCGCCCAAGAGUUCAUAUCGACGGCGGUGUUUGGCACCUCGAUGUCGGCUCAUCACAUCCUGGGGCUGAAGUAGGUCCCAAGGGUAUGGCUGUUCGCCAUUUAAAGUGGUACGCGAGCUGGGUUUAGAACGUCGUGAGACAGUUCGGUCCCUAUCUGCCGUGGGCGCUGGAGAACUGAGGGGGGCUGCUCCUAGUACGAGAGGACCGGAGUGGACGCAUCACUGGUGUUCGGGUUGUCAUGCCAAUGGCACUGCCCGGUAGCUAAAUGCGGAAGAGAUAAGUGCUGAAAGCAUCUAAGCACGAAACUUGCCCCGAGAUGAGUUCUCCCUGAGACUUUAGGUCUCCUGAAGGAACGU